CCUACGGGAGGCAGCAGUGGGGAAUUUUGGACAAUGGGCGAAAGCCUGAUCCAGCAAUGCCGCGUGAGUGAAGAAGGCCUUCGGGUUGUAAAGCUCUUUUGUCAGGGAAGAAACGGUGGGAGCUAAUAUCUCUUGCUAAUGACGGUACCUGAAGAAUAAGCACCGGCUAACUACGUGCCAGCAGCCGCGGUAAUACGUAGGGUGCAAGCGUUAAUCGGAAUUACUGGGCGUAAAGCGUGCGCAGGCGGUUUUGUAAGUCUGAUGUGAAAUCCCCGGGCUCAACCUGGGAAUUGCAUUGGAGACUGCAAGGCUAGAAUCUGGCAGAGGGGGGUAGAAUUCCACGUGUAGCAGUGAAAUGCGUAGAUAUGUGGAGGAACACCGAUGGCGAAGGCAGCCCCCUGGGUCAAGAUUGACGCUCAUGCACGAAAGCGUGGGGAGCAAACAGGAUUAGAUACCCUGGUAGUCCACGCCCUAAACGAUGUCUACUAGUUGUCGGGUCUUAAUUGACUUGGUAACGCAGCUAACGCGUGAAGUAGACCGCCUGGGGAGUACGGUCGCAAGAUUAAAACUCAAAGGAAUUGACGG
rnacentral:rRNA from 1 species